rnacentral:lncRNA from 1 species
AAGAGAUGAAGACAUUGAGAGAUAGUGCUGGAUGUGGCUCGCAUGAGGAGUACUUACGUAGCAUUAUGAAGCCGUGGGUUUAAUACUCAGAGCUACCUGAACCAGGAUGGGGUAAAGUACAUUCCUGCAAUGCUGGUGGUUUGGAGAUGGAAGUAGGAGGAUCAGACAUUCAAAGUCAUCCGUGGGAACACAGUGGCCAGCUCUGCCAAGAGAGAUGCUUGGAAGUGAGUAUUCUGCUAGCAGCCUUCAGUUGAAGAUGUAGAACAUUCAGCUCCUCCUGUGCCAUGCCUACCUGGACAACGUCAUGCUCCUGCCUUGAUGAUAAUGGACUGAACCUCUGAACCUGUAAGCCAG